rnacentral:siRNA from 1 species
CUGCCGUGAUCGUGGUCUGCAGC